GACUCAGGCAGUCAUUUAGACAGCCCAGAAUUGGGGUCGAGGACCUCUGUGUAAAUGCAAUUCAGGUCUCCUUUGAAUCCAGCAUACAGAACAGGGGAGGAAGCGCUUUCGAAAUGGCAAAGUUAUCAAAAUGAAAUAGAUCCUGGGAUCGAUGCUUUGCAUUGAAGAGCUGAGAGCUUUUUUUCCAUUACUUUUUACUUGCAAAAGCAAUUCACUUUUGUCUGAGACUUGACGAUGGGAAGAUCAGCUAAAAUAGCACCUUCUGAAGAUGGAAGACCGUUUCUCUUUUCUUAUUUCUAUCAACACUCAGACAGCACAGACGGGAGGGGUCCAAAGGAUUUCUGUGCAUUAUGGGAAAACUUCUUGAGAGUAAUUAAGAAUGAGAUGGUGCAAAAAGAUGGAUUCACUGUACCAGCCAGGUGGAUUUACAGUUCCAGUCUCAAAGAUGUUGAGAGAUGGACUUGAUGAGGUUGUGCAGUAAAGUCACAAAUCACCUAGCAACUGUUGCUGUCUCCAGCAUGAGGUCCAUCGCAGAAGCUGCUCUGUGCUGCUUAUGGCUAAA